AGAGUUUGAUCCUGGCUCAGAUUGAACGCUGGCGGCGUGCCUAACACAUGCAAGUCGAGCGGUAACAGGUGUAGCAAUACAUGCUGACGAGCGGCGAACGGGUGAGUAAUGCUUCGGAAUCUACCUUAUGGUGGGGAAUAACUAGCCGAAAGGUUAGCUAAUACCGCAUACGUCCUACGGGAGAAAGCAGGGGAUCGUAAGACCUUGCGCCAAAAGAUGAGCCGAAGUCGGAUUAGCUAGUUGGUAGGGUAACGGCCUACCAAGGCGACGAUCCGUAGCUGGUCUGAGAGGACGACCAGCCACACUGGGACUGAGACACGGCCCAGACUCCUACGGGAGGCAGCAGUGGGGAAUAUUGGACAAUGGGGGAAACCCUGAUCCAGCGACGCCGCGUGUGUGAAGAAGGCCUGCGGGUUGUAAAGCACUUUUAGUGGGGAUGAAAUGUGCAGGGUUAAUACCUCUGCAUUUUGACCUAACCCACAGAAAAAGCACCGGCUAACUCUGUGCCAGCAGCCGCGGUAAUACAGAGGGUGCAAGCGUUAAUCGGAAUUACUGGGCGUAAAGCGUGCGUAGACGGUUACAUAAGUCGGGUGUGAAAGCCCCGGGCUCAACCUGGGAAUUGCAUUCGAGACUGCGUAGCUAGGGUGCGGAAGAGGGAAGCGGAAUUUCCGGUGUAGCGGUGAAAUGCGUAGAUAUCGGAAGGAACACCAGUGGCGAAAGCGGCUUCCUGGUCCAGCACCGACGUUCAGGCACGAAAGCGUGGGGAGCAAACAGGAUUAGAUACCCCAGUAGUCC
rnacentral:rRNA from 1 species